GAGUUUGAUCGUGGCUCAGGAUGAACGCUGGCGGCGUGCUUAACACAUGCAAGUCGAGCGAAGCGCUUUUGCGGAUUUCUUCGGAUUGAAGCAACUGUGACUGAGCGGCGGACGGGUGAGUAACGCGUGGGUAACCUGCCUCAUACAGGGGGAUAACAGUUAGAAAUGACUGCUAAUACCGCAUAAGCACACGUGAUCGCAUGAUCGAGUGUGAAAAACUCCGGUGGUAUGAGAUGGACCCGCGUCUGAUUAGCUAGUUGGUGGGGUAAUGGCCCCACCAAGGCGACGAUCAGUAGCCGGCCUGAGAGGGUGAAC
rnacentral:rRNA from 1 species